rnacentral:rRNA from 1 species
CCUACGGGAGGCAGCAGUGAGGAAUAUUGGUCAAUGGACGAGAGUCUGAACCAGCCAAGUAGCGUGAAGGAUGAAUGCCCUAUGGGUUGUAAACUUCUUUUAUAAAGGAAUAAAAAGAGACACGUGUGCCUUUUUGCAUGUACUUUAUGAGUAAGGAUCGGCUAACUCCGUGCCAGCAGCCGCGGUUAUACGGAGGGUCCGAGCGUUAUCCGGAUUGAUUGGGUUGAAAGGGAGCGUAGAUGGGUUGUUAAGUCAGUUGUGAAAGUUUGCGGCUCAACCGGAAAAUUGCAAUUGAUACUGGCAGUCUUGAGUACAGUUGAGGUAAGCGGAAUUCGUGGUGUAGCGGUGAAAUGCGUAGAUAUCACGAAGAACCCCGAUGGCGAAGGCAGCUUACUAAACUGUGACUGACAUUGAGGCUCGAAAGUGUGGGUAUCAAACAGGAUUAGAUACCCUUGUAGUC